rnacentral:lncRNA from 1 species
CUAUUGUUAGAGUAAAAUAUUUAUUAUGAUGGAAUAGGUUGAAUGAAGCCUUUAAAAUACUUUCCACAUUGAUGUGAGUCAUUUCACUUCGAUCUAAAAAGUGAGAGGCAUAUAUUAGUGUAUAUUAUCUGACCUCAUCAUCACCUGGAUACAUGAUAGUAGAUUGUUAACUGAGAUAAAAGUCCUUAAAGUGGGCCCA